rnacentral:rRNA from 1 species
CGUAACUAUAACGGUCCUAAGGUAGCGAAAUUCCUUGUCGGGUAAGUUCCGACCUGCACGAAUGGUGUAACGACUUGGGCGCUGUCUCAACAAGGGGCUCGGCGAAGUUGUACUUGCGGUGAAGAUGCCGCAUACCCGCGACGGGACGGAAAGACCCCGUGCACCUUUACUGUAGCCUGAUAUUGGGUUCUGGCAAGGUUUGUAGAGGAUAGGUGGGAGGCUAUGAAGCCUGGGCGCUAGCCUAGGUGGAGCCAACCUUGGAAUACCACCCUGGUCUUGUUGGAAUCCUAACUUGAUACCGUUAUCCGGUAUGAGGACACUGUCAGGUGGGCAGUUUGACUGGGGCGGUCGCCUCCUAAAGAGUAACGGAGGCGCCCAAAGGUUCCCUCAGCGUGUUUGGUCAUCACGCGUAGAGUGUAAAGGCAUAAGGGAGCUUAACUGCGAGACCUACAAGUCGAGCAGGUGCGAAAGCAGGGCUUAGUGAUCCGGCGGUUCCGAGUGGAAGGGCCGUCGCUCAGCGGAUAAAAGGUACGCCGGGGAUAACAGGCUGAUCCUCCCCGAGAGUUCAUAUCGACGGGAGGGUUUGGCACCUCGAUGUCGGCUCAUCGCAUCCUGGGGCUGAAUAAGGUCCCAAGGGUUUGUCUGUUCGCCAAUUAAAGCGGUACGCGAGCUGGGUUUAGAACGUCGUGAGACAGUUCGGUCCUUAUCUGUCGUGGGCGUAGGAUAUUUGAGGGGAGCUGUCCUUAGUACGAGAGGACCAGGAUGGACGAACCUCUAGUGCACCAGUUGUCGCGCCAGCGGCAUGGCUGGGUAGCUAUGUUCGGAAGGGAUAAGCGCUGAAAGCAUCUAAGCGCGAAGCCCACCCCAAGACGAGAUAUCACUUCCCUUAUGGGAACUGAAGGUCCCUCGGAGAUGACGAGGUUGAUAGGCCACAGGUGUAAG